rnacentral:tRNA from 1 species
AGCAGUGUGGCUUAGUGGAAAGAGCACGGUUUUAGGAGUCAAAGGUCAUGGGUUCUAAUCCCAGCUCUGCUG